rnacentral:tRNA from 1 species
GGGCCGUUAGCUCAUUUGGUAGAGCACCUCAUUUGCACUGAGGGGGUGGCGGGUUCAAAUCCUGUACGGUCCA